rnacentral:rRNA from 1 species
GACGAACGCUGGCGGCGUGCUUAACACAUGCAAGUCGAACGGAAAGGCCCUGCUUUUGUGGGGUGCUCGAGUGGCGAACGGGUGAGUAACACGGGAGUAACCUGCCCUGGACGUGGGGAUAACUGCAGGAAACUGGGGCUAAUACCGGAUAGGAGCGCCUGCUGCAUGGGGGGGGUUGGAAAGUUUCGGCGGUUGGGGAUGGACUCGCGGCUUAUCAGCUUGUUGGUGGGGUAGUGGCUUACCAAGGCUUUGACGGGUAGCCGGCCUGAGAGGGUGACCGGCCACCUUGCGACUGCGAUACGGCCCAGACUCCUACGGGAGGCAGCAGUCGGGAAUAUUGCACAAUGGGCGGACGCCUGAUGCAGCAACGCCGCGUGCGUGAUGACGGCCUUCGGGUUGUAAACCGCUUUCGCCUGUGACCAAGCGUGAGUGACGGUAAUGGGUAAAGAAGCACCGGCUAACUACGUG